UAACAAUGACGCCGUCGACUUUUUCUCAUAUGCUUGACCAUUUGUCUUAUUAAAAAAAAUUAUGUAAUUAUAAUAUAUUUUGUUAUGAGUUGUUUUAUCACUCAUAGUACUUUAAGUGUGAUUUAUAUCUUAUGCAUUUGCAUAAAAUUUUUUAAUAAGACGAAUGGUCAAACAUGUGAGAAAAAGUCAACGGCGUCAUCUAUU
rfam:Oryza sativa (indica cultivar-group) chromosome 7, whole genome shotgun sequence.